rnacentral:tRNA from 2 species
GCGGGCGUAGUUUAGUGGUAAAACCCCAGUUUUCCAAACUGGUCUCGAGGGUUCGAUUCCCUCCGCCCGCUCCA